GCGGCAGCACAGAGAAACUUGUUUCUCGGGUGGCGAGCGGCGNNNGGGUGAGUAAUGCCUGGGAAAUUGCCCUGAUGUGGGGGAUAACCAUUGGAAACGAUGGCUAAUACCGCAUGAUAGCUUCGGCUCAAAGAGGGGGACCUUCGGGCCUCUCGCGUCAGGAUAUGCCCAGGUGGGAUUAGCUAGUUGGUGAGGUAAUGGCUCACCAAGGCGACGAUCCCUAGCUGGUCUGAGAGGAUGAUCAGCCACACUGGAACUGAGACACGGUCCAGACUCCUACGGGAGGCAGCAGUGGGGAAUAUUGCACAAUGGGCGCAAGCCUGAUGCAGCCAUGCCGCGUGUGUGAAGAAGGCCUUCGGGUUGUAAAGCACUUUCAGUCGUGAGGAAGGUGGUGUUGUUAAUAGCAGCAUCAUUUGACGUUAGCGACAGAAGAAGCACCGGCUAACUCCGUGCCAGCAGCCGCGGUAAUACGGAGGGUGCGAGCGUUAAUCGGAAUUACUGGGCGUAAAGCGCAUGCAGGUGGUUUGUUAAGUCAGAUGUGAAAGCCCGGGGCUCAACCUCGGAAUAGCAUUUGAAACUGGCAAGCUAGAGUACUGUAGAGGGGGGUAGAAUUUCANGGUGUANCGGUGAAAUGCGUANAGAUCUGAAGGAAUACCGGUGGCGAAGGCGGCCCCCUGGACAGAUACUGACACUCNNAUGCGAAAGCGUGGGGAGCAAA
rnacentral:rRNA from 1 species